UGAAGCCAGGAGAUUCCAUAAAGCUUGAAAAUAAUGCUGUGAUAUUGUGCUGCACAUAAUUGAAAUGUCACGAGCCAUCUAGAGAGCAGGAGAACCAGUUCUCUCUUGCUUCUAUUGGUUUAGUCUGUUUACUCUUCUGGUGCGUGUCCCUGACACCUGGGCCGGGAGGCCUGCUGAGGAAUGCUUCCUUCCCGGGUUUCCACGGGCACGGCUAUUUGUCAUGCCUCAGAAGCUGCUUGGCUACAGACUCCGUGUCUGCAUCUACGAAAUGGAAGCAAUCCUUGCCCCACUUCGAGGACUCUGGUUGCUGAUGCCUUCCAGAGUUAGAUCUGGGUUCAAAACCCACCGUGGCCACAUAUCCGCCCACCUCAGCGCCUGCCAGUCCAAAUUCCACUUUUUCUCUGGGACCCAGCUCACCACCCCCCGCACCCCCACCGAGAAGUCUGGGUCACUGGUCCGACUACACUUCCAUCUUUGUCUCAAGACAGUGCUAUGACUAGCCCGUGCACGCCAGUGUUCAUAGAUCCAGACUGCUCGAGUUCGAGGCCCAAACCUGGAAAGUACUUCUGGGGGUCGUUAAGAGCAUCCGAGGAGACCCUGCACCUGAAGUGGUCAGCAUGCUUGGCGCCUUGAAUCUGCUCAGCUGAGGUCACACUGUGUGGAGGGAGAGCCCAGGGAGGAAGUCACCACUGUCACCUGAGGUCCGAUCCCUCAACGCCUCAACGAUGGAUUGCUGAUGCAUGCACCAGGGCCCCCUCUGUGUUUUUUAGGAGACACGGCUGUGCAACACGAUGACUCUCUCCACUCCCCCGGCCUGGCUUGUUUCCACGGCAGAAGUCCAUGUGGGGUCCAGAGCUGGUGCACCUGCCGACUGUGAUGGGCAGAUGUGGGGCAGGCAUCACGACUCUUCCCAGGACAAACGGGCAGUCUUAUGUAUGUCGUGGAGACGUUUGUCCCUGGAGUCUUGUGAUCGGAGUUGAGAAGCAUGAUUUUGAAGAAUCUGGAGGGAGCAGAAGUGAGCUUUGGAGUCCUGAGCUCUCAUCAUGAAGAGACUUCCAGGAGUUCCUCGGCCUCCCUGGGUGUUCUCCAUUUCACACAGCUCCUGGGUCCGGCCCAGCAACAUGUCCUCUGUCUUAGCCAUGACGCGUGCAUGUGGCUUCUCUCAGGAUUCCCCGAAGCCUGCUGUGAGAGCUCAGGACAGAUUCCCAUGUGGAAAGGGCUGCAUGGGACUGGGGUGUAGGCCAAACUACUUGGAACACUGAGCUCUUCUCCAAAAGCACUUAGUUUUCAGUGGGAAGCUGCCAGGGUGCCUUGUUCAAAAUGGGCUUGGACCUUGUGGGAUCGUUCCAACGAUUGUUCUCAAAGAGCCCUCUUAGGACCGUGUGAAGAUUGUGAGCUGCUCCAGAGGCGCUGCUGCGUUUAUUCACUUCUAUGCCCUGUGCUCUCAGAACACACCAGCCAGUGCUCGAAGACGACCGAAACCACACAGAGGGGCGGUGAGGAGGCUGGCCUCCACGGGCAAACGGGCGUGUCAUGGCUGCAGGAUUUCUGCUUCCUUCUCGGUAGGCGGAAGUUGGAAACUGGAGAAUCGGGUUGGGUGGGGGAGGGGGGUAGCCUUCUCGAGUCUACAACAGAAAUGCAGCUGUAUUUCCCUUCUCUUGUGCUCCUCUGGUUUUUGUCUCCUGGCCUCGACUUGGAAUUUCAGUUGGAAACUUGAAAUGCAACCAAAAUAGUUUAUUCUGUGUCACUCCUGAAUUAAGGCUUUCGAAAACCUUCCUUUCCACUCGAGCCUUUCUCUUGAAAAUCAGCUCUGCUGCAAAGUGGGGCUAAUUCUGCCCCCGCCGCCCCCGCUCCCUGCGGAUGUCGUGGGGAGGAUGGCUGUAAAUGGGGCACUUUGAGACUCUCCGGUGUGUCAACAAGCUGUGAGUUUCAUUCAUUUAAAAAAUGUAAAUAAAUGCAGCUGCAUCUGGCUGUGUGAACAACAGAAGUAGGACCGCGCUGCUAAAACCAAGUGAGGAGAUGCUCUAAAUUGAGCGAGACGCCCAGCCUUGAGGAUAAUUUAAGGAGCAUUAAUAAAUAUAGUUAGAAGACUCAUGCGGCAGAACUCAUACCUCCAGCUUGUCUUUUUUCCACCCUGUGAGCUAGCAGAAUUCAUAGCGACAGCUUUAGAACAACAAAGAAAGAACUGGCUGCUUCCCAGAACCAAUUAAGGGGUGAGAAAAGGAAGUCUCAUGCGUUAAACAUGCGUGUUGGAAUUCUCCGUUACUAUACUUAAAAUAAUUAUAUAACUUCAUAUUUCUCAUUAGAAUAUUUUAUUAGGCGUUAAACAGUGUUCAACUUCGAAAAAACGCAUCUUCCGGAAAUCAGCCUGAAAGUCUGUUUGCUUGAGGGUCUAAUGCACUUUCUCAUAAAAAUGCCAUUAUAAGUGCAGCUGGGUUCCCAAGCUGGCCCACGAAAGCCAUUUGAACUUCAUAGUAUUGAUGCCAUGUUGUAGAUUUGCAAGAAAAAUUUGUAAAAAAAAAAUACCCAAAAAAACCAAACCCAUUUCCCUUGCAACAGUAUAAGAGCAUACUCAGCACUGAUGUAAGUAAUUUAAUCUCUCAUGCCUGAAAUUAAGGAAGGUUUUCAUUUUUACUGAAUGAUGCUGCCUGUGGGAAAAUAGGAUUAAUUAAGGAGGAUGAACGUAUAGAUCAGCGCCAUGGUAGAGAAUCUGCAGGGCGACGUGGGUCCUCCCUCAGGCUUCCAGAUUGAGGCUGGGGGUUCUUCAGGACAUUAAAUCUCACUUCCAAAUGUCGGCCCUUCCUUCCUCCUUGUAUGGACAGCCUCUGGCCCUUUUGCAUGGUGACCGUGACUGGGCUCACAUUUCCUUGGCUCACACAUGGAAACAGAGGAAGGCAAAGGGAGGGGCAAUUUCCUGCAGGAAUGGAGCACAAGUUGCGCGAGAGGAAAGAGGAAGAAGAGGUUCUUGAAAAGUGUGCGUGUGUGUUGGGAAAAAUAAAUUCGCCGUAUUGGGAAAAUGGGGCUGACUCAGCAAAAACGCACCAUAUGCCUUCAAGGAGAAGCAGCCGAUGGUUAGAUCUGAGCGUGCCUGCCAUUAGCUGCCCAGGCUGUGGCCUCUCAUCCUCAGCAACAAACAGGAAGGACACGGUGUGAAACCAACGGCUCUUUUUCACAGGACAUUCGCAUAAAUCACCCACCACAGGGGGGCUGGGAACCACUGGAGAGCCAACAGAGUGAGGCGCUCCACUAAGAGGGUCUGUGCCCCAGAUUUCUAGCUCUCUGCUCAGCGCCAUGCUGCGCCCUGCCCUGAAAGCCCUCCAGGAUCUGCCUGCCCCAGGCACCCUCACCACAUCCCGAGGAAUGUGGGGGAAGGAGUGUCUCUGUCCCCCUGGCAAACACUCGCUUUGGAAAGCCAUGAAAAUGCUUACACGGUAAUAAGGCUGUGGGAUGCAGAUCCCACAGCAGAUCCCAGAUUUCCAUGAAUGACACAUUUAUUCCACACUUGCUUUAGGCUGGGCAGUUUGCCUGUGCUGUGCAUGUAUUAACUUGGCUGCUUCUCCCAGGCUCUUAAAGUGGGUUCUAUUCGGCUUCUUAUUUUACAGAGGGAAAUGAGGCUCAGAGAGGUUGACUUGCCUAAAGACACAAGGCGAAGUACAGAGUGAAGGUUCGAACACGGGCAGUCUGACUCUGGAUCCUUUGCUCGUAAUCACAGAAGUUUGGACGUUGGAAGACCAACAGUGUUUUGGUCAUUGUGCAGAGAGCUGGACUUACUGAUGGCUUCAGUGGCCCUUCAUUGUGGAUUCAGGACGACACUGGCCAGGCCUGUUCAAAGAUCCAAGGAACUCUUUCUUUCUGAGGCCUUAGCCUACAACAUUAAAACAAAUAAAAUGCUACAUUAAAUGUAAAUUUUUGCUAUAAAUACUUCGAUGAUGUUUUAAAAAUAAUUUGCCUUUGAAGUAAUCUGGCUGUGAACAGUUCACUUAAUUCAUGAUUGACUGUGAUCCCUCAUUCAUAUCUGGAAUUCUUGUCAUUGUUUCUAGAUGUAAUGACACUGUUAUGAAUAUUAAUUUAGCAAAUGAGGUUGACAUAAUAUUAUUACAUUUUGUAGACAUGUAAUGAAGCAUUUUAUUUUUAAAGAUUUAUUCAUUUGAGAGAGAG